GAGCCGAUUCCUCUUCGUGUUAAAGAAGUAUCCUGUCCCAGCAGCGCUUACCAUCUGCACCAAGAUGGUCCUGAGGGAAAAAGAAACAGUUUUGUGGUCCAUACGCUUGACCCAUUGGUGGCGGUAAUGCUUCCUAUAGUUGUUUACCAACCACCAUGACAACGAAGACGAAGAACAAUAAGGAAGGAGCCAUUUUGGAUAUGGUGCUUCAAUAUUUAGGAGGACACUUUUACACCCACAUCUUUGCUUACAUUGGAGUGCUGAACCAAAACACAUUCUCUCUGGGGAUUCUGUCAGCUUGUCCUCACUUUCUGUCUUCAAUUCAUUACCAGUGAGGCUGUUCCAGAAAAUGCUGCAUGAUCACAUCACACCCUGCCCUUGUCUUGGCUGUCACUGGGGCUUUUGAAGAAACUCAUCUGCGUCUGAACAUCUUUAUUCAGCUGUCCACUAUCACUGGGAAAAGCACAAGCAAAAUCUCUCUCAGGGUGGAUGUUUUUGCUUUAAGGAUGACCCAGAUUUGACUGUUCACGUUCUGCCUCGGUGUGAGAAGAUCUAAUCUCAUGUGUACACUAUGCUGGAAGUCUCAUCUCUCCUUUGUUUUUGUGUAAAUCCUGUGAGCAACAUUUACAUUUGAACAUGCUGUAUUAAUAGUAUCCUGUGUGGCAUUUAAAAACCAGUACAGCUGAUAUAUUUAUUGCCAUCAUUUUUUAGCUGGCAUCCUAUCCAACGCCUGUUUAAAGUCAUCAACAAGAGCUGGUGAAGGCAAAAACAAACAGCAGAAGGGCCUGAAUUGUCUCCCCACUUGCGUAAAUGGAAGCAGUUGAGUCAUUCAUGAUGUCACACACCGAUGUGCAUCUGAUUGCUAUGGUUACACCAAUCUCUGGAUAAUGAAGUUCUCAUAUUGGAUUUCCACAACACUAGCAGGUCUGUUGAGAUAGGCUUACUGUCUGUCUAAGAUGAUAAUUUAAAGAGUUUACUGUAACAGAAACACAAUGCUUAAGAGUUGACCUAGUGUUUGUCAGAUUUCAGCUGAUGUGAGCAGCUUUGAAAUAGUGUUCAUAACAUGAUGAGUUUCAUUUGUUUUUAAGAUUAAGUCUCACAAAUGGUCGAAAAAUAUAUUUUGACUAAAAACUUCAGUUCUGCCUUGUGAGGACUUCAGUCUGCAUGCUUAAAAUGAAAAAGAGGAGAUUUUUUUUCUGGGUUAGGAGGAAGGUUAUUAGUAUUUCUUAAAGGAAUCAACAUUAAAAUUUCAGUAGAGAUAAAAGAAAACCAAACAUGUAACACUAAUAAAUUAUCUCCUCAUUGCUUAUGAGCUAUAUGAACAGGAAGUGACAGACCUGAUCUGCAGGUCUUUAAGACAAACAUACUUUUCUAUAUGAUUAAAAUGUAAACAUUACAAACAACCUGACUCUCAGUUGUCAAGAAGAAAAUAAUUUUAAUGGUCCAAUCUGAACUUUACCAAUGUUUCUUAAAUAAACUUUUGUGGCAGUAAUGGCCUUUAUGCACAGUAAUCAGACAGAAAAUGGAUGGAGAUAAUGGUGUAAAACAUGUAAUAAAGGUAAUAAAUCAAAUCUUGAUUGACUGAGCAAAUGACUAUCUCUACGUCACACUGCCAUAAAUGUUAUUACCUAUUGAUCCCCCUCAUGAAAUAAGCUAAACCUCUUCACUGAGUGCAGUCUGACUUUUCUAAUAGACUAGGUUUUCUGUCAGCUUGAUUUUCUCUGUGUAUUUGAAGAUAGCCCAGGCUUUUGGGUGAGGAGUUCUGAGGAGGUACUGAUCAGCCAAUCAGAAAUUAAGAGUCCAGUAACCAUGGCAGCAAGCCAUGGUGGAACAAAUAUCUGAAGGACAAAACAUCUGCAGAUGUAAAAUAUUAAUAAUGGAAAAAAUGUUAAAACAACAGCUCAGAAGUUGGGAAAACAAUUCAUAAUUUUGGGAAACCAGUAAAUCAAUUUGAGAAAGCUGCUCUAACGGUGUGAGGAGUAAAACAACCAGUAUGAGGUCUUUAUUUGGCCUCUAACUUUCCCAGAUUCUGGGCAAAAACACCCAAUGGAAGAAGCGACAUAAUUCCCAGUUUUCAGAAUUUGAAGUAACUGUUGCUGACAUCUUAGUGCUAAAUAACACAGCACACCUUAAGAGGUCUAUGUGCCUCAGAUCCUCAGAGUCUGGAAUGUACUUUAGACACCACGGGGUAAAUCACACCUUCAAUUGGCUGAUCAUAUUUCUCAAUUCUGUCUUACAAAAAUAUUUCAUAUUCUUCAUGGAUUUGUUUAAUGACCUUGGGAUGAUUCU